GACGAACGCUGGCGGCGUGCUUAACACAUGCAAGUCGAACGGAAAGGCCCUUCGGGGUCCUCGAGUGGCGAACGGGUGAGUAACACGUGGGUGAUCUGCCCUGCACUUUGGGAUAAGCCUGGGAAACUGGGUCUAAUACCGAAUAGGACCACGCGCUUCAUGGUGUGUGGUGGAAAGCUUUUGCGGUGUGGGAUGGGCCCGCGGCCUAUCAGCUUGUUGGUGGGGUAAUGGCCUACCAAGGCGACGACGGGUAGCCGGCCUGAGAGGGUGACCGGCCACACUGGGACUGAGAUACGGCCCAGACUCCUACGGGAGGCAGCAGUGGGGAAUAUUGCACAAUGGGCGCAAGCCUGAUGCAGCGACGCCGCGUGAGGGAUGACGGCCUUCGGGUUGUAAACCUCUUUCAAUAGGGACGAAGCGCAAGUGACGGUACCUAUAGAAGAAGCACCGGCCAACUACGUG
rnacentral:rRNA from 1 species